GAGGGUGGAGAGGAAGAGGGCGCACAAAAUAAUCUCAUGGGUUGAGAACCACUCAAGUUGACUAUUUCAUCAGCCAUGAUCUCAGCUUCAGAGUGUCUGGACAGUUCAGCCUAACAUGAGCAGGUCUGCUUUAGCUUCGAUCGUUCGAAAAUUCCUGAGAGUGAACAGAGACCGCCUUGGAGUGGACAACACUGCUGCUUUUCUCUGAGACGUGGGAAUAUGAUGAUAUAGACUGUCUCACCGUCUGUCUCAAUGAAAUACAGCAAAGAAGAAUCCCAGACGAUCAAGUCUUUCAUAACAUUCAGCGAUGCGGUGCGGUGACAACUGAUCGUGUCCUUAAGAGAAAUGCCAUUGCAUGAAGCAGGUGUACCGAGUGCCCUUUGAGAGGAACCCCGAUAAGAGUGAAGGAGUUCCGAUUCCAGUUUGUCUGCAUUCACGUAUGAUGGUAGGUGUAUGACUUCAACCCAAAUGACAUGGAGACACAGA
ensembl:lncRNA